rnacentral:rRNA from 1 species
GUCUAUAGCCAUACCACUCUGAGCGUACCUCGUGAGAAGCUAAGCAGGGUUGAGCCUGGUUAGUACUUAGAUGGGAGACCACCUGGGAAUACUGGGUGCUGCAGACU